CAAAGUAAAGCUUGAUAGCAAUUCAUUUACAUUGAAUAGAUUUUAAAUUUGAUUUUAAAUAUUUUGA
rnacentral:tRNA from 1 species